GCCCUUAGAGUUUGAUCAUGGCUCAGAACGAACGCUGGCGGCAGGCUUAACACAUGCAAGUCGAGCGAAGUCUUCGGACUUAGCGGCGGACGGGUGAGUAACGCGUGGGAACGUGCCCCUUGGUACGGAAUAGCCCCGGGAAACUGGGAGUAAUACCGUAUAUUCUCUACGGAGGAAAGAUUUAUCGCCAAGGGAUCGGCCCGCGUUGGAUUAGGUAGUUGGUGGGGUAAUGGCCUACCAAGCCGACGAUCCAUAGCUGGUUUGAGAGGAUGAUCAGCCACACUGGGACUGAGACACGGCCCAGACUCCUACGGGAGGCAGCAGUGGGGAAUCUUAGACAAUGGGGGAAACCCUGAUCUAGCCAUGCCGCGUGAUCGAUGAAGGCCUUAGGGUUGUAAAGAUCUUUCGCUGGGGAAGAUAAUGACGGUACCCAGUAAAGAAGCCCCGGCUAACUCCGUGCCAGCAGCCGCGGUAAUACGGAGGGGGCUAGCGUUGUUCGGAAUUACUGGGCGUAAAGCGCGCGUAGGCGGAUUGGAAAGUUGGGGGUGAAAUCCCGGGGCUCAACCCCGGAACUGCCUCCAAAACUAUCAGUCUGGAGUUC
rnacentral:rRNA from 1 species